rnacentral:lncRNA from 1 species
GAGCCAAAGAGGUUUCCUCUUCGUUUCCCCCCUGUUCUUCUAUGACCUGUAUAAUUUAGGGUUGCACAUUUUCUCGAAAUUUAUUGUGUUCUAAUCUUGAAUUUGUCCAAAAGAUUGGAUCUUUCAAGUUUAUGAUGUAUGGGUUUGUAAAUUGGAGCUCGUAGCAGCUGAAGGGAUCAUUUUUCUAUUACUCCAGUUUCACUCAUGGGCUGCACACUUAUCAGAUUUUACUGCAAAGAGGGCUAUCUUUCUUUCAAUUUCUUGCUCUGAAAGCACAGGUCAAGGUAUAAAGUAGGCCAAGUAAUCCUUUUGCCUUUUUGCCUUUAUUUUUUUGGAGCCAUUGUUUGGGUUAUUCAUUUUCUUUAGAAUUGGGAUCAAUAUAACUACAUGUAGUGAUUAAUCAUCUUAGGCUCACUUUUGCUGAAAAGUCUUUUUUCUUUUGGGAUUUUUGUUUCAGUUUCCAUAAUUUGUUGUUGUUCGAGAAAUCUUUUGUAGUUCAUAUUUAUGAUCAGCUGAGAAGUGAGAACCCUCUGGAAGCUACUUUAAAGUGAUGAAUUGC